rnacentral:rRNA from 1 species
AUUGAACGCUGGCGGCAUGGCUAAAACAUGCAAGUCGAACGAUCCCUUCGGGGAGAGUGGCGAAAGGGCGAGGAAUAGAAUCGAAUGUACCCCAAGGUGGGGGAUAGCCUCUGGAAACGGAGGGUAAUACCCCAUGUGCUCUACGGAGGAAAGGUUUACCGCCUUGGGAGCAGCGAUUCUCCUAUCAGGUAGUUGGUGAGGUAACGGCUCACCAAGCCGAAGACGGGUAGCGGGUGUGAGAGCAUGACCCGCCGCAUCGGGACUGAGACACUGCCCGGACUCCUACGGGAGGCUGCAGUAACGAAUCUUCCGCAAUGGGCGAAAGCCUGACGGAGCAAUGCCGCGUGUGGGAUGAAGCAUCUUCGAUGUGUAAACCACUGUCAGGGUCUAGGAAUACUGACCAGACCCAAAGGAAGGGACCGGCGUAAUUCCGUGCCAGCAGCCGCGGUAAAGUCAGUG